CCUACGGGAGGCAGCAGUGAGGAAUAUUGGUCAAUGGACGAGAGUCUGAACCAGCCAAGUAGCGUGAAGGAUGACUGCCCUAUGGGUUGUAAACUUCUUUUAUAUGGGAAUAAAACGUUCCACGUGUGGGAUUUUGUAUGUACCAUAUGAAUAAGGAUCGGCUAACUCCGUGCCAGCAGCCGCGGUAAUACGGAGGAUCCGAGCGUUAUCCGGAUUUAUUGGGUUUAAAGGGAGCGUAGGUGGAUUGUUAAGUCAGUUGUGAAAGUUUGCGGCUCAACCGUAAAAUUGCAGUUGAAACUGGCAGUCUUGAGUACAGUAGAGGUGGGCGGAAUUCGUGGGGUAGCGGUGAAAUGCUUAGAUAUCACGAAGAACUCCGAUUGCGAAGGCAGUUCACUGGACUGCAACUGACACUGAGGCUCGAAAGUGUGGGUAUCAAACAGGAUUAGAUACCCUAGUAGUC
rnacentral:rRNA from 1 species